CCUCCUGAGUCUUGAACUCAAGAAGAAUAAACUGCGGACAAUGGGCCUUUCUUACCUGUUAAGGGUGUUUGAGUCCCCAGAGUGCAAGAUUUGGAAAUUAGGCCUCCAGGGAACUGGUUUGUCAGAUGAAUCCUGCGGGAGCCUCUGCUCUGCUCUCUCCAAAAACUCCAGCCUCCGGCAUCUGAACCUGAGUGCGAAUAUGUUCACUGAUCGCUGUGCUGAAGAAGUGCAUCUCCUUAUCCUGACGUGCCCUAGCCUCACUGAGAUCAGGCUAGGUUUGAAUGACUUCUCUCCAGAGGUGGAAAAGCAGCUGAAGAACGUGCAGAGAGAACGGCUGGACAUUCAUUUUUAAAGAACAGAGCUGUUCUGUUCCAUGCUGUGAAAGCAGCACUGGAUGCUAGUGAUGCACUGCCUGGUGCAGUGUCUACUGCCUGUGAUUCAGUGUGAGGGGUGACAGCUGGAGAUUAAA
rnacentral:lncRNA from 1 species